rnacentral:lncRNA from 10 species
CCUUGCUCCCAGGAGUUUGAGACCACCCUGGGCAACACAGCAAAAUGCUAUCUCUAUAAAAAUAAUAAAAAUUAAAAAAAGUAGCCAGGUAAGGCGGGAAUAACACUUAAACCAAGGAGUUUGAGGCUGAAGUGAGCUAUGAUAAUGCCACUGCACUCCAGCCUGGGUGACAGACCAUGAGUGACUCUGUCAUUCAUUCAUAAUAUAUACAUACAGCAUUGCUAAAAUGCUUGAUAACUGUCAAAAGAAUAUUGCUCUGACAUACAUCUGCAAAUAAGUAAGGUGACUUUAAAUUUGAGGAAAAUUCUUUCCCCAAGCCUCAAUCAGGAAAACAAUAUAAACUAAUAAGAAGUAUCUAAUAAACAAAAAGUAAACAAGAAUAUUAUAUAAGUAAACAGGCACAAUCCUGACCAAAAAUGGACAGAAAUAAAUAUGCUAAAGUUAAGUGUCUGGGGGAUGUAGGGCAACAUUACUUCAGAUUGGUAAAUGUCACACUUCAAAAAUAGAAGGAAUCUACCUUAAGAAACUCUGUAGUAAGAAAACCUCCUUUGUAUAAAUGCCUGACAAAAUUAAUCUUUUAUCAUAACCUCUAAAGCUAGUCCAAAUCCAGCCUAGAUUCCAGAAUUACACAAAAGAAAAAAUCUUGGAGACGGUUCUGGGAAAAGGCUGACCAAAAUCUGUGACUGUUUUGAUACAGGCCAAUCUGAGAAUUUUAAUCCCUCUGAACCCAAUCCUGCAGAAUACCUGAACCCUGAGCACAGACGGGGCCAAAGCUAAACCAGGUCAGAAUACCCUGCCAAGGAACAUCCUGAUCUGAGGUGUUCACCAAACAGGGAUCAUUUAUCAGUUUAUUCUUCACUUUGUUGGAUGCUGACCAUUUUCAAGAUAUAUGCAAGAGUGGACUGAUUAGACCCAUCAGAAUCCAUUUCAAGCCCUAAGAUCUGGAGAUGAAAAAUACUGCAGAAUUCUAAAUUAUCUAUGGCUUAAAGAAAAAAAAUUAUAAAUUAAGAACUUCAAAUAUUAGCUGACCCAACUUUAACAUCAUUGAAUAUCUUUAAUUAUUUAAAAAAAUUUAUAAAGUAUUUCAAAGGCACAAUUUAGUAAUUGCCUAUGUAACAAAUUAACCAUGAAAACAAUUACAGCAGUAUGAUAAAUCUGUCCUAUGUAAACAGUAUGAGUUUUUAUAUUUUAUAGCAUUCAGAUAUGCUAAAAACAAAAAUUUAAGUGUUUCUUUUGUGAUUCACAUGAACAAAUACUUUCUUGGUCUUACAAGUAGAUAUCUGACAGGAUACAAAUAAUGAUAAUAGGGUAAGUUCACAGGCAAAAAAAGGAAUCUGUCAACACAGAAGAUGCUUCAAAGUUUAACUGUGACACAUGUGGUAGUGGCAAAGAAUCUAAUUUGUGUCACAAGAUCUGAGUCUGAGUAAGCUCUUUUACCUAUUAAUUAUGUGAUCUUUUUGCUGGUUACAUAGCUACUCUUAGCUUCACAUUCUUCAUAUGAAAAAAUGAGGACAACAGAACUAAUACUGCAGCAUAAUGAGGAAGCUUAAAUAUUUUUAUUCAUUCAACAAAUAUGUUCUGAAAGGCGUUGUGUACAAAUUACCCUUUUUUAUUUCUUCAAAUAAAUCAAGCAUAUAUUAACUUUUAAUAUUACCAAGAAAAUAUAAAUCUAAUUCUUAAGCUCUGGUUCCAAAACUUCUUAGAAGUAAAUUUUUAUUACCUGAGAAAAUGUGAACUUAAGUAAUAAGUAUUGAUACUGAAGAAGGGACAGUUGAGUUUGUGUCAAAACUUAAAACUGUUUUGACACAAAAUAAAUAAAAACAAUUCCCUAAAUUUUUUUCCUAUUGAACAGAAAUACGGACCCAGACUAAGCCCAUAAAUUGCUGGGUCAAUAACCAAUCUGAAAUACAAAACCUUACCACUUAAAAAUAUUUAUUUUCAGGAAAAUGAUAUUAAAUAUGAGGUAAAUCUGCCCUUGACAUAACACGGUGAGAUUGUUUUCAUAACACAGCACAUGAACCACUUAAAACUUACAACCUAUAAAUUACUACAAUUGUUCUAAUAGGUUUAGGGCCAUACAUAAAUUUAAGUAUCAUUAUAACACAGACUUUACUUGGAAUCUGUGCUGACCUAACAAAAUUAGCACAGAAAAAAAAAAAAAAUCACAGAUUUGAGCACCUGAAAAACGGUGUCCUUUCUGAAAUAUCUGCAAAAAAGUCACAACAUCAGGAGCCAUAGAAAGUUGUUAUUUCUCCAUCAUUCAAAAAAUCAAAACAUCUCCAACAUUAUUUAUGCUAAGCAUAAAAUGAAGGUCAGUAUUGAUAUUCAUUCACUAUACUUCAAAUCCUAAACAAGAAAAUUCAACCUUUAUGUUUAUUCAAUUGCUAAUCUAUUCAGUGUCAAUUGUUGUGGAAGAACUAAGAACUAGACUAGUGCUGCUUAUAAUGUUUUUAAUUAGAACAGACUUGGACCAAUUCUACUUAGAAAUUUACCCUUAGAAGAGGUGAAAGAUAUUAACUGGCAUCUUUUCAGCACAGGUCAGUGCUGAAAAGAACACAACCUAUAACCCUUAGGCCUUGCAGUUGAAUGUUAACAAGUGAAAAGCAAUCUCCUUGGAUGUAUCCAAGCGAUUUUAAUAUAAAUUUCUGCAUACCUAGGUAGAAAGUACUUUAGAAAUAAAUCUACCUUUUCCCUCACUUGUAAGAAAAUGUGGUAGAAGCCUUGAAAAAUUAAGUUUAAGGCUGAGCGAGGUGGCUCACGCCUGUAAUCCAAGCACUUUGGGAGGCGGAGGAGGGCAGAUGACUUGAGGUCAGGAGUUCCAGACCAGCCUGGCCAACAUGGUGAAACCCCGUCUCUACUAAAAAUACAAAAAUCAGCCGGGCAUGGUGGCGGGCGCCUGUAAUCCCAGCUACUCCGGAUGGUGAGGCAGGAGAAUCGCUUGAAUCCGGGAGGUGGAGGCUGUAGUGAGCCGAGAUUGUGCCACUGCAAUCCAGCCUGGGUGACAGAGCAAGACUCCGUCGCAAAACAAAACAAAAACGAAAUCAAAUUUCAAACUCAGAGAAAAGACUGGUCUUGAACAAUUUCAGGAAAAAUUACUGAAACACGAGACAAGGCACAAGAAGCUCUAUGGCCGGAGAUGAACCACCUGUCUCCUUUCGAAGUGCUUCCUGAGGUCCACUUUAUGCUAGUUAAUGUUGCUUCUUAUACUGCAUGUUAGUAAUUCAAAACGCCUAGCUGGAAUAAAAGUCCUCUUUAAACAUUACAGUUUGUCUCCGCGUUGCCAGUGUUUGUUUCCAGUUUCAUAGGCUAUUCUGGUAUGUCAAGAGUUGUGUUAUUACUGUUCCAAAAGAGCCCUUGUUUCAAUCCACUCUCACCUGGGAUGCGGGCAUAACUGAUGUUUAUAGAACUGAUACUUAGAGAUGUUUAGAGAGGCGCAUCCCUUACCACUCCAUCCUUUACCGAUAACCACAUUUUAUAUGUUUUUGUUGCAUUUAAGUUUUUUGUUUUUUUUUUUUAAAGACACCUGCACACACACAAUUUUCCCAUCGCCAGCAGGGAGAAGACUACCAGGCUAGAUCUCCAGGGACUUCAGGGAAACAGACACCGUGAAAUCCACUUGGCCAAAGAAGGGGAGCGCUUCAGGGGCUGGGGGAGGAAGCAGCCCUGAGGCGGCAUGCAGAGGCCUGAGGCCUAAA